ensembl:lncRNA
GGUAUGUGGCAGUUGGUCAUUGUAGGUAUGUGUCAGUUAGUCACUGUAGGUAUGUGUCAGUUAGUCACUGUAGUUAUGUGGCAGUUGGUCAUUGUAGGUAUGUGUCAGUUGGUCACUGUAGGUAUGUGUCAGUUGGUCACUGUAGGCAUGUGUCAGUUGUUUUGAAGGGAUUAUUUACUAAUUGGAUUUGUACAUUGGAUGUUUUAAUAAUUUUUGAAUGUACAAGAACAAUGUGGUUGUAUUUUGAUUUCUUUACUGGGACUAAAUUCAUAAAAAAAAAAAAAAUACAAAUACGCUUAGCCUUAACCUUUGUAUAUUUUCAUAUAAAGUGCGUC